rnacentral:misc_RNA from 1 species
UUAUUACGUUUGUCAAAUCUUUGCAACUGAUCUCUAACAGCUAAUUAACUGAAAUAGUGAGAGUUACACGCGCUCGAUUUUUUUGCCACUGAUCUCUAUACAGUCACUGGAUAACAUGCUUAUAUUUCUGCAUCUGAUCUCUAUGUAGCAACUGAACAACGCUAUUGCAACUGAUCUCAAUAGAUUAAUAGGAAUAUCGAUUUGACCAGGAUAAAUAACGAUAGUCAUCGAUUGUAACGAUGGAUUUAUGAUGAUAUAGAUUUUAAUGAUGUUUUACGUUGGCCAGGUUUUAUAACAAUGUUAAGAUAUUACUAAAAUUUUCUAAGGACUUGCAAAAUCAGUUUGAAUAGAUUGAUGCAAUUCACUUCGGCCAGAAAUGGCACAAUCCACUUGACAACUGUCCCAGUGUAGCGUAUAUUUGGAUAUACAUACUGAGUGGUCAGCAUGGAUCCUGAAGAUUUCAAGUUUAGGUUGAUGAAAGUAUUUUUUAGACCAGGAAAGUUAAGAUUAUUGUAUCAUUGUUAAAGUGAUUGAUUUAUUGAAAGGUUUCCACUAAAAUAUGGCUAAAUUCAUUUUCAUUUUUGUAAUUUGCAACAUUUGAUCAUAUAAUGUAGUCAGAUCCUGAGAGUCUAAAAGCUCUUGUAUCGAAAGUUUCAAGGUGGAUCGUUGUCAACUGCUGGAAGAAAGUGAUAUGCAGUGGCAAACAAGAUCAAGUUCAGAGCAAAAGCUUGGGCCACGAUUCAGAAGACCGUCAAAAUGUUCCUCGUGUGGAAAUAACACCAGCCAAGUUUCAGGUUUAAAAACCGACAAGAAUGUUCUGACCAAACAGAUUUUUGAUAUCGAAAAGGAAAUAUCAGCUGCUAUGCAGAAAAUCAAGAACACGAUAAUGAGCCGUGAUCAGAUCGAGAAUCUCCACCGUGGUCUUGUGGCGAAGGUGGACAAACAAGUCGUAGAUUUACAGAAGCAAAAAGAACUUCAGAAGAAGAGGGAGGAAGAAGAGAAGUUGAGGAAAAUCAAAGAACAGAUGGAACUGGAAAGAAAAAGGCGAGAAGAGGAGGAAAGGAGAAGAAAAAAACUCGAAGAAGAAGCGAGAAUUAAAGCUGAAAUGGAAGCCGAAAGGCGAAGGGCAGAAGAGGAAGAAAUGAAACGACGGGAACUUGAAAAAGCGAAACAGAAAGAAAUUGAGGAACAAUUAAGGAAAGAAGAAGAAGAGGCAAAAUCUCGACAAGCUGCUCUUGAACAAGAGAGAUUAGAUCACGAACUGGCCUUGCGUUUGGCAAAGGAAUCCAAUUUGAAUGUAGAACCCAUGGAGGAACAAAAAGCUAUUAUAAGAGCAGCUUCCUUGAAAGAUCCGAAUAAGAAAUAUGACCUGAGUAAAUGGAAAUACGCUGAGUUAAGAGACACCAUCAACACCUUGUGCGAUGUCGAGUUAUUACAAGCUUGUAAACAAGAGUUCCAUCCCCGUCUUAAGGUUUAUCAUAAGUGGAAAAAAAAUACGGCAUCGAAGUCAACAGGUCAAAGUGCUGGUGAUCAAAGAGCACCUCAAGAGGUGUGGAAGAAGGAAAUUCAGCAUUGAAGAAAUCAAAGGAAAAUAUUUUAUAUCGAUCGUCAGGUAAACAAUUAUUGGUAACCAAGGAUGCAUGUGGUAAGACUUCCCUUAUUGAUACAUUCAAUGCUGGUAAAUUUCCAUCAAUUACCUCUGUGUCUUGUUACUCUUGAGUCUUGUUACAAGCUAAUGACUGUGAAUAAUAUUCCUGUGGAGUUUAUGAUAUAAUUGCGGUAGAAGAUUAUGAAGAUGUUAAGACAAGAUCUUUAAUGUAAUGUUAUUCGGUUGAGUCAAAAGAAAGUUUUGAAAGUCUUUCCAGUGUAUGGUGGCCAGAGAUCAGUGCUGCUCACAUAAGGAAACCAUUAUUAUUAGUUGGACUAAAAAAGGAGCUUCGUCCUGGCAAACAAACGCAUGAACUGAGUACGUAAAAGCUAUUGAAGAUGAUGAAGGAUCGUCGCAGGGUCAGGAGGAUCAUCGCAGCAUCAGAUGUUCAAGAAUCGUCGCCGGAUCACAUGGAUCAGAUGUUGAAGGAUCGUCGCAGGAUCAGG